rnacentral:rRNA from 1 species
UACAGAGGGUGCGAGCGUUAAUCGGAAUUACUGGGCGUAAAGCGUGCGUAGACGGUUGUGUAAGUCGGAUGUGAAAGCCCCGGGCUCAACCUGGGAAUGGCAUUCGAGACUGCAUAGCUAGGAUGCGGAAGAGGGAAGUGGAAUUUCCGGUGUAGCGGUGAAAUGCGUAGAUAUCGGAAGGAACACCAGUGGCGAAAGCGGUCUUCUGGAGCACUCUUGACGCUGAGGCGCGAAAGCUGGGGGAGCGAACGGG